CAGCAGCCGGGCGGACCGACGUCACGGGCGUUACGUUAACGGCGGCUCUCCCUCCCUCCGCCCCGGCUGUUUGCGCCGCUUAUUUCGGGGGGUCGACUCCUCUGGUUGUAUAGAAGUCUCUGCUCCAUGUGUACCACCCUGAAGACCCCCGACUCCCAAGCAGUGACCUCCGCCCGGCGAACGAGCUGAACUGAUUUUUACUGUCGCUUUGAAAGAUAAUGGGGCAACCCCAUCCCCCCAUGAACCCCAUCCACCAGCUUUGGACCACCGGGUCCCCCUCCCCCGAGCUCAGCAGGGGCCCAUGCCUCACAAACCCCCCCACAGCAGCCGGCCCAGACUCUGUGUCUCCAGAACAUCAGCUCCAUCGCCCAGAAGGCUCCGCAGAGGAUGAAGAAGUUCAACCUGCCAAAGACCACCAUGGUGCACGUCUACCCCUCCAUCAUGGAGUCCUCUGCUCCACCUUCAGCGUCCGGUAGACCCGAGUCCUCUGGCAGGAGGCUGAGGUCCAUCAGGACCAGGAUCUCACUCCACAGAUACGGUUGUUUCCAUAAGCAGUCGGGUUCAUCCCUGAAGCUCAGGAACCGGUCGGUAUCUCCUACUGGUGCACGUUGUUGACUGUUACGCAACAAUCAUAUCGGAUGUGUCACGGGCCGAUGAACCAGUUCUGAUUCUGAUUCUGAUUCUAAAAAUAAUUCUCAAA